rnacentral:siRNA from 1 species
GGGUAUCAGGUCGCUUCGGGU